GGGGAAGUAGCUCAACUGGUAGAGCGCCUGCUUUGCAAGCAGGAGGUCAGGGGUUCGAGUCCCCUCUUCUCCACCA
rnacentral:tRNA from 2 species